AUUGAACGCUGGCGGCAGGCCUAACACAUGCAAGUCGAGCGAGCGGCGGACGGGUGAGUACUGUCUGUGUAACUGCCUGUUGGGGAGGGCUAACUGCUGGAAACGGUAGCUCAUAACGCGUCCCAUCAGAUGUGGCCCGAUGGGAUUAGCUAGUAGGUGGGGUAACGGCCCACCUAGGCGACGAUCCCUAGCUGGUCUGAGAGGAUGACCAGCCACACUGGAACUGAGACACGGUCCAGACUCCUACGGGAGGCAGCAGUGGGGAAUAUUGCACAAUGGGCGCAAGCCUGAUGCAGCCAUGCCGCGUGUGUGAAGAAGGCCUUCGGGUUGUAAAGCACUUUCAGCGGGGAGGCGUUACCCGCAGAAGAAGCACCGGCUAACUCCGUGCCAGCAGCCGCGGUAAUAC
rnacentral:rRNA from 1 species